GGAACACUAUUGACCUACUAAUACAAUUUAUUUACACUCAUGCCACUUUCUCAAAUCCCUAAAUUUAUUCCAAAUUAAAAGUUGUAGAAAAAAGUGAAAUAAAAUAUAUAUACUGUUGUAUUGCACUAAUUGUAUCCAUAUGAUACCAAAAGUUUACCUUUUUUGUGAUAUAUAUAUUUUGCAUUAAUUGGGAAGUAAAUUAAUUUGCUCCAAUUACUAAAAAAAAGUAUACUAAAUUUGUAUUAUAUAUUUUGAAUCAAAUAACACUUCUCUAACUUGUGCAUAAAUUAUUUUUCAUGUAUUGUUACAUAUAUUAGGCACGUUUUAUUGUUGUAUAAAUAUAGGUAUAGAAGAGAAUGCUUUGAAUAAUAAUAUAUUCUUCUCAAUAAGAGGAACUUAUAGGGGUACAACCCUAACAUAAAAGGAAAGAAAACUAAUUACAAGUUAUUACAUGGGAUUACAUAUCAAUUAGGGAUCCUACCUAAAAUACAAAAGUCAACACUCUCCCUCAAGUUGGUGCAUAUAUGUCGCUCAUGCCCAACCUGUGUAAGAAACUUGAAAACUUGUGACUCGAAACAGCUUUUGUGAGGAUAUCUGCCAACUGAUCUUCUGUUCUUAUCGCCGGUACUUCAAUUAUUUUCCUUUCCAAUUUUUCUUUGAUGAAGAACCGAUCAACUUCAACAUGCUUUGUUCUAUCAUGUUGUACCGGAUUAUGUGCAAUGUCACGAGCAACUUUAUUAUCACAAAAUAAUUUCAUGGGCUGAUCAUGUUGUAUACCCAAAUCGCUUAACAGAAGCUUAAGCCACAAAAUUUCACAAAUCCCCAAAGCCAUACCUUUGUAUUCUGCUUCUGCACUGGAACGGGCAACCACAUUCUGUUUCUUAUUUCUCCAUGUAACCAAGUUACCCCCAACAAACGUAAAGUAACCUGAUGUUGAGCGUCUAUCAUCAAUGGAACCUGCCCAGUCUGCAUCAGUAUAACCUUCAACACUAAAGUGAUUAUUCCUCUUAAACAAAAUUCCUUUGCCCGGACUUCCCUUCAAAUAUCGCAAUAUUCUCAUCACGGCAUUCAUAUGUUGUUCUCCAGGAUCAUGCAUGUAUUGACUCACUACACUCAAGGCAUAAGCAAGGUCCGGUCUUGUGUGUGCCAAAUACAUCAAACGGCCUACUAACCUUUGGUAUCUUCCUUUGUCAACUGGUACUUGAUUAGGAUAAACACUAAGCUUCAAUCCUUCUUCUAAUGGUGUAGCUACUGGCUGACAAGCUGACAUGCCAGUUUCGUGCAACAAAUCAAUAAUAUACUUCCUCUGAGACAAGAAAAUUCCAGAACUGUUUUCUCGACACCUCAAUCCCUAAAAAAUAUUUUUCAGGGAUCCAAGGUCCUUCAUUUCAAAUUCUGUAGACAGGUAUCUUUGCAAGGCCCCACGUUCUUCCGGAUCAUUACCUGUUACCACCAUAUCGUCUACAUACACAAUAAGUGCAGUAAGCUUCCCAUUCUGUCUUUUCAGGAACAAAGUAUGAUCAGAGUUACUUUGUAUGUAACCGAAUGCUCUCAUAGAUUUUGUGAAUCUUCCGAACCAUGCUCGAGGAGACUGCUUCAAGCCAUACAAGGAUUUCUUCAACCUGCACACUUUUCUUUUGUAUUUAUCUGAAGCAUUACAUCCCGGUGGAAGAUCCAUAUAAAUCUCUUCUGUCAAGUCUCCAUGCAAGAAGGCGUUCUUCACAUCGAACUGUUGUAAAUGCCAAUUAAGAUUUGCAGCCAAUGACAACAAACACGAACUGUGUUGAUCUUGGCUACAGGUGAAAAUGUAUAUGUGUAGUCGAUUCCAUAUUUUUGAGUGUAUCCUUUUGCUACCAGUCUUGCCUUGAAACGAUCCACCGUCCCAUCUGCUUUGUAUUUCACAGUAUAGACCCAUUUGCAUCCCACAGGUUUCUUACCUGCUGGCAAAUCUGUGAUUUCCCAGGUAGCAUUCUUCUUCAAAGACUUCAACUCUUCAUUCAUUGCUACUUGCCAACGUGGAUCAGUUAAAGCCUCAUGCACACUGUUAGGAAUAGAUACAGUAGAUAAUUGAUGCACAAACGACUUAUUUGAUUCUGACAGGUGACUGGUAGACACAUAAUUACUUAACGAGUAUAACACAUUAGACUCAGGGUUGGGCUUACUCACUGGAUACCUAGUUUUGCAUUUAGGGUCGGCUUCAUGAGUAAGUUUAGGAAUACCUCGGUUGACGCGAUCAGGGAGACGACGUGGUGGUGGUGCAUCCGGGAUCGAAGACGAUUGAUUAUGGUUAUUGGGACUCAAGAUCGACUGUGAGGUAGCUGGCGACACAGGGCUGUCCGGUGGUGAGGAAACUGGCAGUGAGCUAUCAGGCAGUGAGUUAUCUGGCGAUGUCGACUCGUCCCUUUCAAGGUUUUCAACAUUGUUUCCAUGUGAAUGAUCACCACUUGUCUCCAAGACAUUACCACUUAAUUCCAAUUCAUUCACAUCAUUAUUUUCGUGUGAAUGAUCACCACUUAUUUCCAAGACAUCACCACUUAAAUCCAAAUCAUUCACUCUAUCUAUAUCUGAAAUAGUAUAAUCAAGAGUUUGAACUUUUUUCUGAUUCUCCCCCUGAAGUGAAAACUCGGGAUUGGCAAAGUACAUAUCAUUCUCAUGAAACGCAACAUCCAUAGUGACAAACAACUUAUUCGUCGGUGGGUGAUAACAACGGUAUCCUUUCUGCCUUGAUGCAUACCCCACAAACACAUAUCGUAAGGCUCGAGGUUCAAGCUUACUUCGUUGUUGUUUCUGAAGAUGAACGAAUGCCACACAACCAAACACAUGAGGUGGAAGAUUAGGGACUACAGGAGCAUCAACAUGUGAAGAAAGUGCCUGAAGGGGUGUCUGAAAAUCAACCGAUCGGGAUGGAACACGAUUAAUAAGAUACGCAGCUGAGGUGAGAGCUUCUCCCCAAUAGGAUAACGGGAGACGAGCCUCGAGUAAGGAAGCACGAACAACCUCCAGAAGCUGACGGUUCUUGCGUUCGGCAACCCCAUUUUGUUGUGGAGUAUAUGGACAUGUAGUUUGAUGAACAAUCCCAUAAUGAUCAAGAAAGGCACGAAGUUCAGAGUUUAACAUAUUCGCCACCAUUAUCACUCCUGAGAAACCUGUAUUUGUGACUUAUAUUGUACUUGUACCAUUUUUUGUAAAACUAUUGAAACAAAGAAGUAACUUCACCUUUGGAUUUCAUCAAACAAAACCCAAGUCAUACGUGUGCAGUCAUCAAUAAAAGUAAACGAACCAAUGAGCACCACUAAAUGUAGCAGUUUUAGAUGGACCCCAAACAUCAGAACGAAUUAACAUAAAUGGAACAGAACUUUUAUUCAAACUGGAUGGAAACGAAGCACGAUGACUUUUAGCUAGUUCACAAACACCACAUUUAAAGCUAGAAACAUCAUGCUUACCAAAGAGGCUAGGAAACAACCUCCGUAGAUAGCCGAAAGAAGCAUGUCCAAGUCGACGAUGCCACAACCAAACCUCCGAAGCUUUAUUCCUAUCCCCCGGAUUUCCUUCCACUGCAAGAGCUUGAGUCAACAUUCGAGAACUGUUUGAUGUCAGCUCCAAGUAGUAGAGCUUCCCUUUCCUAAUACCAUAACCAAUCGUCUUGCAAGUCCGAAUAUCCUUAAAAACACAAAAAGAAGGCCAAAAAAUCACAAGGCAAUGCAGGACGACAGUUAUUUGAGCAACAGAUAAUAAAUUAUAGUCAAGAGAAGGCACAACAAGUAUGGUAUCAAGACUAAGGGUAUCUGAAAGGGAGACGGUUCCUUCCCCGAUAACAGGGGCAGGAUUACCAUUGGCGACACUGACGACAGUUUUGGUGGAUGGUUUUAGGGUUUCUACCUGUCUAGAAUCACAAGUCAUAUGUUCAGUAGCACCAGAAUCAAUUAUCCAUGUAUUAUUCGUAACAGAGGUAGAAACCUUUAAAGCCUUACCAUUGUUACCUGUAUUAGCAGAAUCACAAGUCCAGACUGCCAUUCCCAAGCAACUUCAAUCAAUACGUCACUCGGUGAUUGAUAAAGCCCAAAUUUCCAAGCAAACCAAGCCCAAGAAGCUUCAAUUUUUCACGGCUUCAGAUCAAAUCAGAAGCAAAUAGGCCAAUUGGUCUGUCGUGUCACACAACAGAGAGUCAAACGAUUCGAUGAAUUCGAAUCAGCAACGACGGCGUCGCUCGCUGUUCGUUUCGAAUUCAGAGAGGGUAGCAACGACAACAGUCGCUCGCUGAUCGAGGUCGACGCACCACACACGGCUGAGCCGCAACAGUGCUAUCACAGCUAUGGGGUAAUUUUUUUCUUUUUUUUUCCGACCUGGCUCUGAUGCCAAGAAGAGAAUGCUUUGAAUAAUAAUAUAUUCUUCUCAAUAAGAGGAACUUAUAGGUGUACAACCCUAACAUAAAAGGAAAGAAAACUAAUUACAAGUGAUUACAUGGGAUUACAUAUCAAUUAGGGAUCCUACCUAAAAUACAAAAGUCAACAGGUAUGACAUAAUAUUUUUCAAUAUAAUACAUCAAAUUAUAUUUCUUCUUGUUAUGGGUAAAUUAUUCUCCAUGUAUUAGUGAAAAAAAAAGAUAUUAUAUUACACACGGGGUAUAAUUUUUUGUAGGUAAAUUAUUGGAAAUUAAUUUGUAGGUAGGUAAAUUAAUUUGUUCCAAUUAUAUAAAAAUAUAUAUAUACUACACCUAGAUUAUAUAUAUAUAUAUAUAUUUUGAGAAAACCUAGAUUAUAUAUUUUGAAUCAAAUAACAUUUUUGUAUACAUGGUAGGUAAAUUAUUUUUCAUGUAUUAUUACAUAUAUUAGCCUAUUAGGGACGUUUUUUGGUAAAAAUAUAUAAAGUAAUAUGUAUAUGAUUGUUUGUAGGUAAAAGAUAAAAUCAAAAGCAUGAUCCAAUUCCUAAGUUUAUGCAAUAUUUUGUUGUUGGUAUACAAUAUCUUGCAUAAUUGGAAAUGAACAUUUCCAAUAGUAGGUAGGUAAAUUAAUAUGGUCUAAUUAUAUAAACACACACACACACACAUA
rnacentral:lncRNA from 1 species